UACGGAGGUCCCAAGCGUUACUGGGAUUCACUGGGUUUAAAGGGCGCGUAGGUGGCGCGGUAAGUCGGUUGUGAAAUCCCCGGGCUCAACCCGGGAAAUGCUGCUGAGACUGGCGGGCUUGAGGCCGGCAUAGGGUACUGGAACGGACGGUGUAGCGGUGAAAUGCGUAGAUACCGGCUGAAACGCCAGUGGUGAAGGCGGGUCUCUGGGCCGGUUCUGACGCUGAGGCGCGAAAGCGUGGGUAGCGAACCGG
rnacentral:rRNA from 1 species